rnacentral:rRNA from 1 species
AGAGCGAACGCUGGCGGCAGGCCUAAUACAUGCAAGUCGAGCGGCCACUUCGGUGGCAGCGGCGGACGGGUGAGUAACGCGUGGGAAUGUGCCCUUUGGUACGGAGCAACUGAGGGAAACUUCAGCUAAUACCGUAUGUGCCCUUCGGGGGAAAGAUUUAUUGCCAUUGGAGCAGCCCGCGUUGGAUUAGCUAGUUGGUGGGUAAAGCCCACAAGGCGACGAUCCAUAGCUGGUCUGAGAGGAUGAUCAGCCACACUGGGACUGAGACACGGCCCAGACUCCUACGGGAGGCAGCAGUAGGGAAUCUGCGCAAUGGGCAAAGCCUGACGCAGCCAUGCCGCGUGAAUGAUGAAGGUCUUAGGAUUGUAAAAAUUCUUUCACCGGGAAGAUAAUGUCGUACCCGGAGAAGAAGCCCGGCUAACUUCGUGCCAGCAGCCGC